ensembl:snRNA U6 U6 spliceosomal RNA
GUGCUCACUUUGGCAGCACAUACACUAAAAUUGGAACAAUACAGAGAAGAUUAGCAUAGCCCCUGCACAGGGAUGACACACAAAUUCAUGGAGUGUUCCACAUUUUU